AGCCCAGACUCCUACGGGAGGCAGCAGUGGGGGAUAUUGCACAAUGGGGGGAACCCUGAUGCAGCGACGCCGCGUGGGUGAAGGAGUAUUUCGGUCUGUAAAGCCCUAUCGGCAGGGAAGAAGCAAGACGGUACCUGACUAAGAAGCCCCGGCUAACUACGUGCCAGCAGCCGCGGUAAUACGUAGGGGGCGAGCGUUAUCCGGAUUCACUGGGUGUAAAGGGAGCGUAGACGGCCAUGCAAGCCAGGGGUGAAAGCCCGGGGCCCAACCCCGGGACUGCCCUUGGAACUGUGCGGCUAGAGUGCGGGAGGGGCAGGCGGAAUUCCUAGUGUAGCGGUGAAAUGCGUAGAUAUUAGGAGGAACACCAGUGGCGAAGGCGGCCUGCUGGACGAUGACUGACGUUGAGGCUCGAAAGCGUGGGGAGCAAACAGGAUUAGAUACCCGUGUA
rnacentral:rRNA from 1 species